UACGUAGGGCGCAAGCGUUGUCCGGAAUUAUUGGGCGUAAAGCGCGUGUAGGCGGCCCGGUAAGUCCGCUGUGAAAGUCGGGGGCUCAACCCUCGGAUGCCGGUGGAUACUGUCGGGCUAGAGUGCGGGAGAGGCGAGUGGAAUUCCUGGUGUAGCGGUGAAAUGCGCAGAUAUCAGGAAGAACACCCGUGGCGAAGGCGGCUCUCUGGAACGCAACUGACGCUGAGACGCGAAAGCGUGGGGAGCAAACAGG
rnacentral:rRNA from 1 species